UACAGAGGUCUCAAGCGUUGUUCGGAUUCAUUGGGCGUAAAGGGUGCGUAGGUGGCGAGGUUAGUCAGGUGUGAAAUCUCGGGGCUCAACCCCGAAACUGCACUUGAUACUGCCUUGCUAGAGUACUGGAGAGGAGAUUGGAAUUUACGGUGUAGCAGUGAAAUGCGUAGAUAUCGGAAGGAACACCGGUGGCGAAAGCGGCGCGCUGGACCUCUUCUGACGCUGAGGCGCGAAAGCCAGGGGAGCAAACGGG
rnacentral:rRNA from 1 species